UACGUAGGGGGGCAAGCGUUGUCCGGAUUUAUUGGGCGUAAAGAGCGUGUAGGCGGCCAGGUAGGUCAGCUGUGAAAACUCGAGGCUCAACCUCGAGACGUCGGUUGAAACCACCUGGCUAGAGUCCGGAAGAGGAGAGUGGAAUUCCUGGUGUAGCGGUGAAAUGCGCAGAUAUCAGGAAGAACACCCGUGGCGAAGGCGGCUCUCUGGGACGGUACUGACGCUGAGACGCGAAAAGCGUGGGGAGCGAACAGG
rnacentral:rRNA from 1 species